AACAUAUCAAGAGAAUAUACGA
rnacentral:siRNA from 1 species